rnacentral:lncRNA from 1 species
UAUACCAAAUUGGAGAGUCGAGUAAGGUUCCAUCGAGGUUCCGGUCCGCAGUUCUGUCAUUACAUCAGAAAUGAAAAGUUACAGGCUAAAAAUAAAUAAAUAUGCAAAAAUCCUAUCUAUACAACUUCUUUUGGACUCGUGACUUAAGUUUCUUCACCCUGUUCUUCAGGGGGCUCCUGACUUGCCAUUUCUUCAGCUUGUUGCUUGGCUUUCAAUUGCUUCAUCUUGUUGCUUAACUUUCAUUUAUUUGCCCUGCUCUUCAGGUGGGAUCCUGACUUUUGGUUUCAUCAACUUCUGAUUUUAUCACCCUGCUCUUCAGGAAGGCGCCUGACUUAUAGCUUUAUCACCCUGUUCUUCAGGCGGCUUCCUGAAAUCAAAAUAAAAACUAAAACGAGAAUUAUCCCAAACAAAGAUUAUGAUGAAGAAAGAUUUCAUUUUUGAAAGUAACGUCCCAUUUUCUAGGAGGGUCCUGAAUAGAAAGUAAAAUCCCAUUUUUCAGGAGGGUCCUGAACAGAAAGUAAAAUCCCAUUUUCCAGGAAAAUUUCAUUUUUUAGGAGGGUCCUGAAUAGAAAGGAGGGUCCUAAACAGAAAGUAAAAUCCAAUUUUCCAGGAGGGUCCUAAACAUAAAGUAAAAUUCUAUUUUUUAGGAGGGUCCUGAACAUAAAGUAAAAACCUAUUUUUCAGGAGGGUCCUGAACAGAAAGUAAAAUCCCAUUUUUUAGGAGGGUCCUGAACAGAAAGUAAAAUCCCAUUUUUCAGGAGGGUUCUGAACAGAAAGUAAAAUCCCAUUUUCCAGGAGGGUCCUGAACAUAAAGUAAAAUUCCAUUUUUCAGGAGGGUCAUGAACAGAAAGUAAAAUCUUAUUUUUCAGGAGGGUCCUAAAUAUAAAGUAAAAUCCCUUUUUUUCAGGAGGGUCCUGAACAGAAAGUAAAAUUUCAUUUUUUAGGAGGGUCCUGAAUAGAAAGUAAAAUCCCAUUUUUCAGGAGGGUCCUGAACACAUAGUAAAAUCCCCGAGAUAUACUUUCCCAAUGAUAGCUGAAUUUACUGAAUAGAAACUUUUGCCCCUGUUUUAUCAAAGACAAAUUUGCCAGUUAACUUAGUGGUGGCUUGCAGCACUUGGCUUCCCAGGCAUCUGCUCCAGCACCCAUUUCUUUCAUCUUUGUUUCAGAUCACUGACACUUUCCCUUGUCUUGUUACAUCAUUGACCUAAACCAGAUUAGGGAAAUAACUUUGACUCAAACACUAAGCUUCUAUUUCACCAUGCCUCUGGCCCUUUGACAUAUGAUACUCCCAUGAAUUCAGUAAACUAUCAGUUGAUAGACUACCUUUUCCUUGCUUUGAAUUAUGAUCAUGUUCCUCUCACGUGUUGUCUUGGCUUUUUCUUAUACAAUUAGGAAGAGUGGUAGCAAGUUUUGAAAUUUUUUCUCGCUUAUUUUGACACAGAAAAGACUCAAACAUUGUAAAGAAAUGAUAGUGACUUUUCUUUUGAUGACAGACAUAAAAGGACAAAAUAUAAAUGUGUAAAUAAAAGAAAAGGGCAAUGUCCCUCUUUUUAACAAAGAAGAAAACUUAUCUAAAGAUGGCAACCAACUCCAAUGACUAUGGCAUGCACUUUGGAUUAAGUUGUCUGAUCUUUCCAUCCGAACUUCCCAUUUGUUGUUGAGUUCGUGCCUUUGCCACUGCUGCUUAUUCAAACCCAUUGUAUUCAUGCAUCUUAUUCAAUUGACAAUAUCUUGAAAGAUUUUCGCUAAUAAAUCUCUUUUCUUUUCACUUUUCUCUCGAACUCGCCAUCGCCUUACGGUGCCUAUAGGGUUUUCACCAAUAAGACUCUCUCAUUUCUUAUCUCUCUCAACUCACCAUCGCCUUAUGGUGCCCAUGAGGGUUUUCACCAAUAAGACUCUGUCAUUUUUAUUUCUUUCAACUCACUAUCGCCUUAUGGUUCCCGCAAAGGUUUUCACCACUAAUACUCUCUCAUUUUCAUUUCUCUCUUGAUUUCUUAUGCUGAGGAAGACAAGUAUUUCCCAAAAUGCAUCAUCAUAUCCAUUGCAUGCUUAGCCUUAACAUUCUCAAAGAUUGAUCUGAAGGUUUUUCUUUGGUCGUCACUUGGCUUUUGGAUAGGGUUAGAAAGAAAGGAUGACAUGAGGCCCAAACGACAUUUGAUGUGGGGUAGGACUUACAACUUUUGGAAUCGACUCAAACUACAAUAAUUAACUCAUGCCCCAGUUUUGUUGACUGGGUGACUCUAAAAUUUUUAUUUGGUUGGACCAGCCUCGAAUAGGGAAGCCUACAUAUCUCACUCUCAAGAGAGGAGAAUCAGGUCGCACGUAGUACCAUCAGCUUUUUCUUAUUAUGAUUUAAUUUUUAUUUUUUUUUCAUACUUACUUUUUCUUCUUUUCUUGACACUUUAUUUUUUACUCUGUUUUGAUUCCAAAAGAGGGGUAUGAAAGAAAAAUAAAACUAAGCUCAAACAGGAUAAACAAAGGAUGAUACACUGUUUGGAUAGCAAAAUGAAAUGCCUUCAUCAUUUCAUCUUCAAGAAUGCAAGUACUAAACAUGCAAUAGAACCAACAAAGGAUAAAAUAUCAUACUUAAUAUAUUUUGACCGCAUCAGUAUUGAUAGCCAUUUCUUCCAUUUUGCCUUCAAUAUCUGACAAAUAUAAGGCUCCAUUGGCCAACACUUUCUUCACAGUGAAGCGACCUUGCAAAUUUGGGGAGAACUUGCCUUUUGCUUUAACCUGGUGAGGAAGGAUACACUUCAAUACCAACUGAGCAGCUUUAAAUUGCCUAGGUCGUACUUUUUUGUUAUACGCUCGAGCCAUUCUCUUUUGAUACAAUUGGCCAUGACAUACCGACGUUAACCUUUUUUUCUCAAUCAAACUCAAUUAUUCUAGUCGGGUUUUGACCUACUCGUCAUCAUCAAUCUCUGCUUCCACAAUUACUAGAAGAGAGGGAAUUUCAACUUAUCCAAGAAUGACUACUUCUGUCCCAUACAUCAAUAAAUAUGGAGUUGCCCCUGUUGAAAUGCGAAUAGUAGUGCGAUAACCUAGCAAUGCAAAUGGCAACUUCUCAUACCAUUGUCUAGACCCUUGUAACAUUUUCCACAAUAUCUUCUUGAUAUUCUUAUUGGCGGCUUCCACGACGCCAUUUUCCUUUGGACGAUAUGGAGUGGAAGUUUGAUGUGUGAUCUUAAACUGUUGACACACUUCUUGCAUUAAGUGACUACUGAGAUUGGCAGCAUUAUCUGUAAUGAUCAUCUUUGGAAUUCCAAACCUACAAAUGAUGUUGGCAUGAACAAAAUCUACCACCUCCUUCUUUGUUACUAACUUAAAAGUUACUGCUUCUACCCACUUUGUGAAGUAAUCAAUGGCCACCAAAAUGAAUCUAUGCCCAUUCAACGCUUUUGGCUCAAUCGGCCUGAUCAUAUCCAUCCCCCAAGCUACGAAAAGCCAUGGAGCAAACAUUGUGCACAAUUCAGCGGGAGGAGAAUGUAUCCAAUCACCGUGUACCUGACAUUGAUGACAUUUUUUAACAAAACGAAUGGAAUCCCUCUCUAUAGUAAGCCAAUAAUAACCUGCUUUGAGAAUCUUCUUUAACAAGACAUAACCGUUCAUAUGAGGCCCGCAUACUCUAGAAUGAACUUCAACCAUGAUUGCCGAAGCUUCUUUUGCAUCAACACACCUCAAAAGUCCCAGAUCAGGGGUUCUCUUGUAUAAGACUCCUCCGCUUGAUAAAAAUCCACUAGCCAAAUGCCUAAUAGUCUUCUUUUGAUUAUUGGUGGCAUGUGUUGGGUAUUCUCCUGACUGGAUAUACUGUCUGAUAUCAAAGAACCAAGGUUCGCCAUCGAGUUCUUCUUCAACUGCAUUACAAUAAGCGUGUUGAUCAUGACUCUAUAUAUGCACUGAAUCGAAGUAGGCCUUAUCAGGAUGUUAGAGCAUUGAAGAUAAAGUGGCUAAAGCAUUAGCCAUCUUAUUGUGAAUUCUUAGAAUAUGCCUAAACUUUACAGACACAAACCGUUGACAUAGAUCUUUCAAGCAUUGUCAAUACGGUAUUAGCUUUAAAUCUCGUGUUUCCAAUCACCUUGAAUCUGAUGGACAAGAAAAUCUGAAUCCCCCAACACUAAUAGUUCCUGGACUCCCAUAUCAACAGCUAGCCUCAAACCCAAAAUGCAAACUUCAUAUUCCGCCAUGUUAUUGGUACAAUAAAAUUGAAGUUGCACUAUUACCAAAAAAUAGUGCCCCACCUUAGAGAUAAGAACUGCACCUAUUCCAACUUUCUUAUGUUAAAGGCUCCAUCAAAGAAUAAUUUCCAACCUAGAUUGACAUCUAUAAUGACUCAUUGACACACAAUACCUCUUCAUUAGGAAAAUAUGUCUUUCAUGGCUCAUACUCUUCAUCAAUGGGAUUCUCAGCGAGAUGAUCUGCUAAGGUUUGUGCUUUUAUGGCGGUUCGAGUCACAUAUACAAUAUCAAACUCGGUAAGCAAUAUCUGCCACUUUACCAAUUGACCCGUCGAUAUAGGUUUCUGAAAUAUAUACUUUAAUGGAUCUAUGCGGUAAAUGAGAUAAGUAGUAUAGGACGAAAGAUAAUGCUUCCACUUCUGUGCUACCCAAGUUAUGUCACAACACGUCCUUUCAAAAAGAGUGUACUUGGCUUCAUAUGUUGUAAACUUCUUGCUAAGAUAAUAAAUAGCUUGCUCCUUUUUCCUGUGACAUCAUGUUGACCCAAGACACAACUGAAGGAAUUGUUCAUGACUGAUAAAUAUAAGAUCAAAGGCCUAUCAGGAUCCGAUGCUACCAGCACAGGUGGAUUUGACAGAUAUCUUUUGAUUUUGUCGAAUGCUUCCUGACAUUCUUCAGUCCACUCCAUUGUAGCACUCUUUUUCAGCAACUUAAAAAUAGGCUCACACGUGGUUGUGAGUUGAGCAAUAAACCUGCUGAUGUAGUUCAGUCUUCCCAGCAAACUCAUCACCUCCAUCUUAUUCUUUGGAAGAGAUAGGUCCUGGAUGGCUUUGAUUUUUGAGGGAUCCAAUUUAAUUCCCCGACGGUUGACUACAAACCCCAACAGCUCUCCGGACAAAAUUCCAAAUACACAUUUUGCCUGGUUGAGUUUGAGAUUAUACCUGCGAAGCCUUUUGAAGAACUUUCUUAGAUCUUUAACAUGGUCAGCCUGAUUCUUUGAUUUAAUAAUCACAUCAUCUAUAUAGACCUCAAUAUUUUUAUAUAUCAUGUCAUGAAAUAUAGUAGUCAUGGCUCUCAUUUAUGUUGUUCUAGCAUUCUUCAAAUGAAUGGCAUUACUCAAUAACAAUAAGUUCUCCAUGGUGUGAUAAAAGAUGUCUUCUCUACGUCUUCAUCAUCCAUAAUAAUCUGGUGGUAUCUGGCAUAACAAUUCAUAAAAGAAGCAACCUCAUGUUUAGCGUAGUUGUCCAGUAAAAUAUGGAUAUUGGUCAACGGAAAAUCAUCCUUCGAACUUGCUCUGUUCAAAUCACGGUAAUCAACAUAUACUUAAAUUUUGCAUCUUUCUUUGGGACAGGAACAACAUUGGAUAACCAUGUAGGAUAACGAGCCACUCGAAUGACUUUGGCUUCAAGUUGUUUUAUGAUUUCCUCUUUGAUUUUGAUACUUAUAUCAGUCUUAAACUUCCUCAACUUCUGUUUGAUAGGGGGGAAUGCAGGAUCAGUUGGCAAUUUAUGGGCCACUAAUUCAGUGCUUAAGCCACGCAUAUAAUCAUAAGACCAUGCAAAAACUUCUUUAUAAUCAAUUAAUGCUUGAAUUAUUCUACCUUUUAAGAGUGGUGAAGCAUGUACACUUAUUUUAGUUUCCUUAACAUCUUCUUGAUUCCCUAGAUUAAUUGGCUCAAUUCCAAUCAGAGUAAGAUUCGGCUUGUCUUUAAACCGUUCCAACUCUUUGCUUAUUUCUUCUAGUGCCUUUUUUUCAUCAUAUUCCCCCUCUUAUUUCAUUAUAUCUGACUAGUUUGGAUUUUAAGAUCAGGCUAAAAAUUACGCAUGCAUGUCAUGUCAUUAGAAUCAGCAUAAAAAAACUGUAUAAAGAAAAGACAAAAACAAAAUAUAGUAAACACAAAACAAAAGGGAUAUUGCAUUUCAUUAAAAGGGAAAGAUAGGAGGGUUUAAACACAAACGACAACAGAAUAUAAACAAGCUAAAUUUUGAGUUACAACCCUGAAAUAACUCAGAAAACUGAAAGAAAAACAAAACAAACUACCAAAACUCCCUCCUGACAGGGAAAGGAGUGACUUCCCAAUUAUUGAGAUGGACAGCUGGACCUACAAACUGCACCUCUGCCGUACUGGUACCUUCUUCUGCUUCGACCAUGUCAACUUCAAAUAACAGGUUAUGACAAUCACCAACUGAUUCAACCUCAAACUCUAUAGGUUCCAUGACGUUGCUCUUGAUGAAUGAGUUACUAAGUAGAGGCAUUGGGCGAGGGAGUGACCAUGUUUCUUUCUUUCUUUUCUUGGCUUUCUUCAGAUCUUCAGCCGUAGGUUCGAAACCCAAACCAAAAGUGCCCAUGUUCUCACUUGGACAUAUGGGAUGAACUAUACCAUGUAGGGACACUCCUAAACCCUUUCCUAGCACAAAUCUAUACUUUAGCGGCUCAUUCACCAUCAUGACAAAAGUGGAAGACAAUCGUGGUCCCGGCAUAACCUGCCCCUCAAGAAUACGAUCCACCGACAUUGUAUCAAACAACUACUAGAUAAAUGUCUCCUCUACACCAUUUUCUUCAUUAAGAGGCAUGGAAGAAUCUUUGUGGGCGGACAAAUCCCCUUUGCUAUGAAUAACCAUUUCUUGCCUGUCAUGCUCAAACUUGAUUAUCUGGUGUAAUGUAGAUGCAACUUUCCCGGCUUUAUGGACUCAUGGUCUUCCCAACAACAGAUUGUAUGAGGAGUCAAUAUUCAGCACUUGGAACUCUAUGGCGAAUUCAACAAGCCCUAUAAACAACAUUAGUUUUAUUUACCCAAUGGAGUCUAUUUUGGCCCCAUAGAAAGCCCUGACACAUACAUUGUUCGGCCUGAUCCUCUCGACACCGAUGUUCAACUUUUGUAGGGUAUAUAUAGGGAAAAUAUUUGCACUAGAACCUCCAUCAAUCAUAACAUGAGUGACGUAGAAAUCUUCACACUUUACGGUAAUGUAAAGACCCCGGUUAUGCCUCGUACCUUUAACUGGCAAUUCAUCAUUAGAGAAGCUGAUUCGAUUUAGUUUAAAGAUUUUUUUGACCAUUUUCUCAAGCUAAUUUACAGUGAUCUCCCUAUGAAUAUAUGCUUCAUUUAAUACCUUCAGUAUAAUAUCACAAUGUUCCUUGGAGUAUAGCAACAAAGAUAAGAGGAAAAUUUGAGUAGGGGUUUUCUUCAGUUGAUUUAUUAUCGAGUACUUCGACAGUUUCAUCUUUCUCAAAAACUCUUCGGCUUCUUCUUCAGUGACAAACUUCUUGAGAGAUGAAGGACCACUCACCCCUGGCUUGGGCUUUCUCAAACCUUCAGGCACGAAGCAUCUUCUUGACCGAGUCAGACCCCUUACCUUAUCUACUUCUUCCUCAACUUUCUUUCCAUAAUAAGUUAUCACAGUCCACUUAUAGUUCCAAGGUACCUUUUCCAUAUUGGUGAUCGGAAGCUGGGUUGCUGGUUUGAUGAUAAUAGGCACCGCAAGUACUCCAUUUACUAUAAAAAUAAGCUUACUCGAAGCUCCUACCACCGUCAACUUAGGUUUGCCCUAACUUAGACCAACAACUAUUUCGGCUCCUUUCACCGUGAUCAUGGGUUUCUUUGUACUUUUUUGGACUUUAUCUUCUCCCACUUCUUUCUGUCUCAAUGGUAUUACUUUCAAUGAAUCUAUCACAUACACCGAUUUAUCUUCAUUGUUCUGUAUUCUAACAAUAGGCUUAUGACACAUCGAUGACUCUUUGCCACCAUAUAUCAAUUCCAAUAUAUUGGUUUCAGUAUGGGUUGGCAGCGGAUUUUGGUUGAUGUUUGAAACCUCCGGGGCUUGGACCAGAAUCUAAUUUACAUCGAUUAAAUCCUGGAUGGCUAUCUUCAAAUGCCAGUAUUUCUCAAUAUCAUGCCCUGGUAUGUCAGAACAAUACGCACACCUUAAAGAAUAAUCAAAAUUUCUUGGGGGUGGAUUCGAAAGCCUUCCUUGGAUUGGGCUCAAGACCUUCCUCUUUCUCAACCUAUCAAACAAGCUAGCAUAUGAAUCUCCAAGAGGUUUGAACUAAUUUUUAGCCAUCUUUUCUUUUUUAUACUCGGUCCUAGGUUGGAAACCAGGUCUGGAGAGGUUUUGGUAAUUUGGUGGGGCUGAUGGAUGAUUUUAUGGAGUUUGUGCAUGCCAUUGUGGGUAAUAAGAAGUUUGAGCAUAUGGUGGUGCGCUAUAUACUGGGUACGGGGGUGGUGGAAUAAAAUAUAGUGGGUUUUGCGUAGGGUAGUAAUGGUGGGGAGAAAUAUAUGGAGCUUGGGCGUAGGCUUGGGCUUGGGAUUGGGGAUAAGGGCGAGGCGGUAUUUUAGGAUAGGAAUGAGUUCCAGCUACGAUAGUCGCCAUGUCCUCUUUCUUCUUCUUACCUCCGAACGCUCCAGAUCUACCUUGAAUUGCUUGGGUAGUGGCUUUCAAUACGGUAAAACUCACUAUCUAAUCGGUCUUAAUUUUGUCCUUCAUCAUCUCUCCCAUUUUGAGGACUUCAAUAAAAUACUUUCCCAUUACCGGAAGUAAAUAUUGAAAAUAGGUCUCAUCCUGUGCUUGAAUGAAGACCCUUACCAGCUUACUCUCCUUUAUUGGAAGCUUUACCCUGGUGUCAUGUUCACGCCAUCUUAUCGUGUAUUCCUGAAAGCCUUCAGUACUUUUCUUCUUCAUAUUGACCAGGGAUUUCUCAUCAGGAACCAUCUCGAUGUUAUAUUGAAAAUGUUGGACAAACUAAUUAUCUAGGUCAUCCCAGUUGUUCCAAUUGUCAAUAUCCUGAUCGAUGAACUAUUCUGAAGCUAGAUCGGAAAGACUCUCGCCAAAGAAAUCCAUGAGCAACUCUUCUCUUCCCCUGCGUCCCUUAAUUGGUUGUAAUAACAUCUCAAAUAUGCCACGGGAUCACCGUGCCUCGCGUACUUCUCAAAUUUAGGCAUUUUAAAACCAAAAGAAAGGUUAACGUCUGGGAACAUGCAAAGAUCUCUAUACGAAACACUCUUAUAACCUUUGAUUCCUUGAAAAUUCCUCAUGGCCUAUUCCAAACUUUUCAAUUUCUGCGCUAUGACUUCUUGUUCCUCCGUUGCAAUAGUCUUCUACAUAUCAAAUAGAAAUGCAGGCGGCUGAGUGUACCCAUACAGUUCAUUCACCUUCAAAGUAGGUUCAGAGGCAUAAUACUGAUUAUCUAAAACCUUCAAUACUGGCUCACUAGUAGAACGAGGGAGUACCAUUGUCGGAUGCACAGUAUAGGCGGGAGCUUCAAGUGGUGGCAGAACCACGAACACAGGCGCUGCCGGUGGCGCCGGCUGAGUCGCGGGCCUUAGUUGAGGAACUUCUAGGGGCACACUAAAAGUGCCAGGGUAAUAUUGACGUGGAGUAAAUCCUGGUGCAUGCUAUGGUGACUCAAUGGGAAUAGAGAAUUGUGUCUGAGAGAGUGGUGGGCAAUUGGGGAUAUUCCCAAGAUCUUCAGGGAGUGGAGGAGGAGGCAUGCCACUAGCCCAUGCGCGGUGUAGAUCUAGCAAUUGUUGUCUAAGUCUCAAUACCUUAUUAUUGCAUUCUGAACUUUCUUCCCUGGGAUCCUGAUCUGGGUCAAUGAGUGAAUUUUCAAUCUCCCUACUAGCCAUGGAAAGCUUCUCUUUUGAUCUAGUGAAGUACGGAUGACUAGCCAGAGUGCUACAAACCAACCACUUAUCUGAAAGAACAUGCUCAUCAAAGACAAAACCCAUUAAGAUUAGGUCAGGCAACAAGCAUAGAAAUUACAUUGUAUACAUCCUAGGUUCAUGUACAUUUCUACCAGACUUAGAGGGUAAUAGGGCCAUUUUAACAUCAUCCCGAUCUUUCUCCUACACCCAUUUGCUUCUUUACUCCAAUCACACCUCUUUUUUCUUCCUUUUUUUCCAUCACUUCCUCAUCUCCCACGUCAGUCCUUUUUUAAUCCUUCUUUUCCUUCUCUCAUUAUUCUUUCUUUCUUUUCCUCUCUCGCUGUCUCUCUUUUUAUCAUUCUUUAUGGCUUUUUUUCCUUAAAAUAAAAGAAAAGCAAUGAAAAACCAAGAAACAAAAUGAUUAGAUCGAACCCAAAAGUAGGUUGCCUAUGUAUCAUAUUGUACAUGAAUCAUAUCUUGCAUAGUUCGGGCGAUAUAUGCACAAAUAUCACAAAAUUGAUGAUUUUUUAUUUUUCCCUUUUUUUUUGUGAUAUACAAACAAAACAAAAGGACAAUGCAACAACACCACAUAUUCAUAAGAGAGACAACUAAACAGAUUAAGACAACUUAAAAGUAGUCAACAAAUACUAAACGACACUCUAGACCUAUAGGACGACAUGUGUGACAUUCCUAAUAAAGACCUCAAGGUUAAAACAAACUUGACACGAACUUAGCAAAGACACAACAAUACAAUGACAGAAAAAUAAAGGACUCAAACUAAAUAAAAGAUAAGAAGUGCUCCUUCAAAUUGGUGCGCUGUGUGAUGACCCUGGCUGAGAUAGACCUGUCUGUGAAGUUCUCUUUCUCCCACUCAAACUCUGUAGCAUAUCCUGCAAGGACACUUUGAUAUUUGGGAAGAAGCUUCGGGCACGUAUUCCUGCCUCAUGGUGAGUACACCUGAAAAGACUGUUUUGGAAACCUUCCAUAGUUAUGAGCAAACCUGAUAACUGAACUCUCAAUAACUCCAUUUUAUCCCCCACACCUGCAUCCCUCUCGUUAUCACCUAUGCUUGCUUCCUGUGUCCGUCCUCUAAGUUACAUGGGCAGUGGCCUACUAAUACCCUGAGGUAUGGAUUGUAGCCAGAUCUCAUAUUUCUGAGUGUACCCCAGAUUAUCCAAACUUUCUUAGAGAGUAUCCACUCCCAGCUUUAUUGCAUGAUUCCAGAAAUGCUCGUAUUUUCUCUUGCCUAAGGCUUAGUCCUUGAAGUACUCGAUAUCCUUUUGAAGAUCCACUACUGGUGGCAUGUCCUGUGGCCUAACCAACUGGUACAUUACCCUAGAAGGAGUGUAUAGUCUAGUGCAAUUAAGCCCUAACAUAACCAAAAAGAGUUACAUCUGACAACCUAACAAGAUUACUUUCGAACGAAGCCACAAAUAGGUCCACAAAAUAUUAUCCUCAGUCCUUAAUUCGAGAAACUCAAUCCAAGCAUCAACUCCCAUGGGUAGAGAGAAUUUAUUCAAGCGCAUCUUGAGGUCCAUGGCUUUCACUCGAUUGGGAAUGCAACGAUCAAUCACGUCCGAUCUAACUAAGAAAGGCGUAUGCAAAUGCUUCAUUAUCCACAGUUGAAAAAUUAAGUUACUGCCCUAAAAAAAUCUCAUCCCCCCUUCACCUCGGUUAGAUCCUUGUAUAUUUCUGUUAGAUCAUGGGUAUGAUAGUAACCCAACUUUGUCCUUUUGCUUAGUGACCUUGUCCUUUUGCUUAGUGCCCUUGUCCUUUUGACCCUUAUGAAAUAGAGCCAUCACCACAGAUUGCAAACGUGUAUUAACACGUCUUUGUUUUUUCGGAAACACUAGAGUGCCUAACAAAGUAAGGGUGAAGACUUUAAGAUGCUUUCUUUCCCAAUUUUUCUUAGUCAUAUAAAAUUUAGCCCAAAAGCAGGAAAAACCUUCCAAAGACCCGAAUCUCGCGAAUAAAAAAUCCAAGGAAAUCCAUGAUUGAUUCAGACAACCCAAAUGCCUGUUGUUACUUUUCAACCCACAACCUUGCAGAAACCUAUUGCCCGAGUGGUUCCGAGCUCGGAUCAUGCUUUUAUCAAUAUAAGGCAAAUGGAGCAGACCAAAUAUUUCUGCCAAGGUAGGCAUCAUCUCAUACUUUCCGAACCUAAACACUAAAUUACUAGGAUCCCAAAAAGUCAAUAUAGAAUCUAUCAGAUCUGGCCAGGGUGAGAUAUAUAGAAGCUCUGUAAGAUCACCUAAUACUUUAAUUAGCUUUUGCUGGUCAACAUAGUUGAACGUGCCCCACCACUUGAUUAACUUUUUAGGCACCUUGCCAACCAUUCGGACUUGAGACUUUAUGGACAGAUCCAUCCUGUAAUGACACAUAAGAUAUUAUCUCAAAAUUCAAUAGGAAAGAAAGAUUCCUAACCCUUGGGACUUUGACGCGGACAUAUGUUGAAGGGACAUACCACUAUAUGACUCCAAAUCGCUUAACAGUAGCACUGGAUAAAAUCAGCCUACUUGGCUAAGAUCUGCUAACAACACUAAAUUUUAAGGAGAAAGACCUAGGCUAAGGAUAAGACAAAGGCUAAAAUAAAGAUUACCGGACCCACCGAGGGUUGCCUACGUAUAUCACCCCGAGGGACGCAAAUCAGGUAUGCAUAGUUCGUGAAGUUUGCUAAAAUGGACAAUCAAUUCUUUUUCCUUUUUUUCUUUUUUAGAAACUUCAAAAAUAAUAAAUUGUCAAAAGAAUUGACAAAAAUCUUUUUUUAUUUUUUAGGUUUAAACUCCCUAUACAAAACAAAACCUAUGAUUACCAAAGUAAAAUCUUUUUGGGUUUUUAAUUUUUGAAUUUCAUAUGAAAAUGAAACUUGAAGAUAUUAACAAAAAAUCUUUUUGUGAUUUUCUUUUAAAGAUGUUUAGGAAACACCUACUUUAAAGGAAGAGUGAAGAAAAUCUUUUUUUAAAUUUUUUCAAAUAAGAUCCCCAAACUAACAAUAGGCUGCCUGGAGAAUCAGAGGUGCGUAGUUCGUUCAGGUUGAAUAAUUAAGGAUUAAAAUGAACUAAGACUUGAAUUAAGAAACGCGAUUACAGACGAACGAUGGAAAUAAAAUCUUUUUGAGUUUUCAAUUAGACACUUCUCACAUAACUGACACCAACAACUAUGAAAGAGAGAAGAAAUCUUUUUGGUAUUUUCGUCAUAUGAGAUAUACAAAGCUCCUACCAUUUUUGUUGACAUUUUUUCUUUAUAAAAGCUUCAAUUAAAAAAUCAUUUUGAAAAUUUCGAAUUAUGAAUGGAGGGUAAAGGAACAAAAGAAAAUCUUUUUGAUGUUUUUUUUUUCAGACAAUGAGUGCGAAGGUAAAGAAAAAUCUUUUUUCUUUUGAAUUUUUGAAUUGUGAAAAACAAAAGCCAUAAAGAACUUUAAAAACUCUCUUCUUUUUUUCUUUCUUUUUUUCAAUUCAUUGCCUACACACUUUACUUCUAACAUAUGCUUUCCCUAAAUUAGUCCGUCAAAUGACCACGUUACCCUCAGAGAUGCAACAUUUAGCAUGUAGGGAUGAUUUAAAGGUGAGUUUCCUACGAAGGACCAAGUGUACCCCGCUAGGUCUCAAUAUGAUGCACAUAAGCAUGACCUAAAGGCUGACCUACGUUAGGGUUUACUAGCAAGGCUGUUUGGGAGAGCGUAUGGUCGAUAGUGGCUUGCUUUAGCUGGCCACCUACUCCAUACAACCCAACGACUGCCCCCCCUAAAAUAAAGGUAACUCAACUAUAGGUCGUGUACACACGUGUACUACAGACAUGUUACAGAAAGAAAGACUCGGGUUAUGCACAUGAUGCCAGAUAUAAAGUGGUAACACAUAAAGAAAAAACUGUAAAAAAAGAGCAUGUAGGAACUCAACAAUGAUAAACAAUAACACAAAACAAGACAAACAAAAUGUCUAUACACCUAUAGUGCUAAGCUAAGCCGAUACAAACUCCAAAAUAAGCUCGAAUUUUAAAAAAUCCCCAGUGGAGUCUCCAGAGCUGUCACACCCCUUUUUUUACCAAAGAUAUUAUAUUUUAAGUUCGAAAAAUGAUUUUUUAUUAUUGAGUGACAAAAGAUGAAAGUUUGCUUUGAAAAAAGAUUAUUUACAUUUUUUUAUUCAGAGUCGCUACUUGGCAUAAUUCGAUAUGCCAAGUCACCUUUGGAAAAUCCUUUCCAAAACUGUUUGACUCUUUGAAACUGGUUUGCGAAUAGAGAUUCUGGCUAAGGAAUUCUAUUGAUCGAGGGGAAUGUGUUAGGCACUCCUUAAUUCCGUGGUUUGACCAUGGUCUCAUGGUGAAGCGUAUCGGCUAAUUUUAGCACUAAGGACGUAUAAACCACAUAAAAUAUAUAAACAAGCAUCCUAAAACACGAAACAAAAUAAAUUUAAAAUAUAGUGUUCAGUCCAAUUAUUCAGUCCAAAAUAAAUAAAAAUGUGAAAAUAAAUCCUAUCUAACCUACACUAAUCCUAACUAUGCUCCCGUGCUUUACUCGAUGCCUUGGGCCUUCAUAACGAAAGUCUUCCUCCAACAUAGUACGUCGGGGUAUUCCCCGAUGAAUAAAUACAAUGUGUCUUGGGAAAUUCCCUGGCUAAAUGAAUACAUUUGAAUUAAACGCGAUAAACUAGAAAGAAAUAUUCACACGCACAUUUCAUCAUUCAACCAAAACAAGUUCUAAAAUUUACCUACCUGAACCUAUAUUGCCUAUCCGUUUCAACAUAUCAUAAAUCUAUUACGUUUUGGCAAUAUUCAUGCUCAUUCCGAAAAUGACAAAGAACCAAGAAUCUAAAUUCACUAUUUCAUCAAAUUUUCAAUUCUCACUCCCCAAAUUCCCUUUUAAUACCAAAUUUUCACAAUUCGCGAUCCCACUUCAACAAUCCUCAAUCACUUUAUUCAAAAUUAACAACAAAUCAACAUCACUCAAUAUUCCAUCAUCAAAUGCAUAAACAACAAUGAAAUCAAACGAUGAUAAUCAACCAACACGAAAUCAUAGACGAUUCAACCAAUUGAAAUAAAGGAAAGAGAAUGGGUAAAGAAAUGGACCUCAAUAGAACGUUCUUGUAGAUAAUAAAAAAGUCCAAAAAUCUAAAUACUCGAGCAAGGAACCCUAACAAUGAGCAAACCAAACCCAAAUAUAGAAAUCCAACUCAGACAGAUUCGAGAACCGAUGGAGAAUCUCGAGAUGAAUGAUUCCAUCCCAGUAUAAAAAAACAACACCAAUGACAAAAUCUAGUCCUGAUUUUUUGGUAGAAAAACUAAGAACCCCAACAAACCGAACUCCGGUGAGGUAACAAUAGCAAAAAUCGAUAGGAAUAGAUCAGAUUCUGGAGAAUUUUGGGUGGCUUGAUGUUUUUCUGGAGACUCUUUAACGUUUUCGGCUAGUCAUGGUUUGAAAUUGAAGGAAACGAUGAAAAUGCGUGUUUUUCUUUACGAAGAAACGACCCCAAAAGAAAUGGAUUUCAAAGGGGAGAAAAAAAAUGACGAAGAUGGCAGUUUUUUUUUUAGUUGUUUCUGUACCCGUGGAGAAGAAAGAAAAAAAUCAAAAAAUAUGGAGUCCUCCCAUAUCUGUGUGUGUAAGUGUUCCUAUGGAGAAGAAAGCCCAAGAGAAAAAAAUCCUUUUUUUUAGUGUAUUUGUUCCCGUAUGCCUUUUUAGUGAAUGGGGAAGAAGACCCCUCCUUUUUGUCUUUGUUUGUAUGUAUAUAUUAUUAAUACCCUCUAGAAAAAUCCUGGUUGUCCCUAUGUGGAAAAUAUAUUGUUGAGGGAUUUUUGGGUGGUCCCCCUAGAUGUCCUCUCUUGUGUCUAUAUGUAGAUUAUAAACAAAAUGGUCCCCUCUUUUUUUAUCCUUGUCAUCU